GUGAGGAAUAUUGGUCAAUGGGCGGGAGCCUGAACCAGCCAAGUCGCGUGAAGGAAGAAGGAUCUAUGGUUCGUAAACUUCUUUUGCAGGGGAAUAAAGUGCAGGACGUGUCCUGUUUUGUAUGUACCCUGAGAAUAAGGAUCGGCUAACUCCGUGCCAGCAGCCGCGGUAAUACGGAGGAUCCGAGCGUUAUCCGUAUUUAUUUGGUUUAAAGGGUUCGUAGGUGGUGUGAUAAGUAUGCGGUGAAAGUUUGCAGCUUAACUGUAAAAAUGCCGUUGAAACUGUCAGACUUGAGUGUAAAUGAGGUAGGCGGAAUGCGUGGUGUAGCGGUGAAAUGCAUAGAUAUCACGCAGAACUCCGAUUGCGAAGGCAGCUUACUAAGCUAUAACUGACACUGAAGCACGAAAGCGUGGGGAUCAAACAGGAUUAGAAACCCUGGUAGUCC
rnacentral:rRNA from 1 species